UACAGAGGUCCCCAAGCGUUGUUCGGAUUCACUGGGCGUAAAGGGUGCGUAGGCGGUCGGGUAAGUCUAACGUGAAAUCUCCGAGCCUAACUCGGAAACUGCGUCGGAUACUAUUCGGCUAGAGGAAUGGAGGGGAGACUGGAAUUCUCGGUGUAGCAGUGAAAUGCGUAGACAUCGAGAGGAACACCAGUGGCGAGGGCGAGUCUCUGGACAUUUCCUGACGCUGAGGCACGAAAGCCAGGGGAGCAAACGGGAUUAGAAACCCGGGUAGU
rnacentral:rRNA from 1 species